GCACUUCCGGCAGCGCCGCGGCCGGGAGGGACCGAGCGGGGAGCAAGGCCUGCGGGGAGGCGCAGGAUGGACGCGUUGGCUGUCAUGAUGUAGGACCUCCUGACCUAGAACCAUGCCCGGCGCAGGGAGAACAACGAGCUUACGGACCGGGUGCGGGGGCUGCUGUGCGAGAAAGCCUACCUGCUGGCCCGGGAGCGUUCGCCGGCCCACCUGGUGGCUUUCCCUGGACGUUUAACGGCGACUCCGCCCGGCCUCCCGACUUUUUGAUGCAGGCGUUCUCUUACAUGACUUUCUUCGAGGCUAGAUUCUCGAAAGACAUCCUGAAGGUGGCUUUCUUAAUUAGCUGCCUCACCGGCUGGCGGAGCAGUUCGUAGUCGCCUACAUCGAGAGGGAGAGCCCCGUCCUGGCUCAGUACUGGGGCUUCGUGGACGCGCUGUAGCGGGUCUUCGCCGUCGUGGGUAGGAAACAGUCGGGCCGGAUCCCCGGUGUCUGGGGAGCGGCUGCCGGCCGGGCCCGCGCGAGCCGCUUCACUCCUACAAGCCCGGCUCACUAGUUCCAAGCUGCUGGACUUUGACCCUCGCUGGGAAGCUUGAUCGCCGCCUGUUCUCGCCAAUCUCUAUGCCUUUGCACUGCCCAGCAACCCGGUCACUGCCCAGGACCUGUUAAAAGUUGAAUGGACCUCCCAGAAUCACGCCGCUGCCACCGCCGUUUCUAGAGACGGCUUUUGGCCACCUUUGAGAAUCAGGGUCAAACUUGGAAGGGCCUGCAUUUGUCACACUUCCUCGGACACUAAUUUGGAUAGUUCAGGCCCAGAGACGGCUUCCCGGAUCCUUUGCACAUGGCCUGCUAUCAACAAUCCUCUACAAUGAUUCUCAGCAUCACCUAGGGAGCUUAUGUAAAAUCUCAAAUUCCUGGGCCCUAUCCCCAGAGUUUCUUAUCAAGUCCACUCACAAAUCGCAGCUGGUAUGGACUGGUACUGCCCCAAAUAAGAGGAACCUAAGAGCUUGGCUCCAAGACCCCCCACCAUCCCGGUGGGUUUGCUUGGCCUUUAGGAUGUGUGACUACAGCUUUUGGGUAGGUACAGGGCAAUCAAGAUUGAGGAAGAACACUUCAGCAAAGCAACCAUUAUUUGUCCACAAAAACAGUGAAAAACAGUGAUAUAAAAUUAACAAACCAAAUAUAAAUCUAACGCCA
rnacentral:lncRNA from 1 species